rnacentral:antisense_RNA from 1 species
CUUGGAGUGGGAAGAAAUCACCUGUCGCCAUUUUCUUAGACAUAACGGCAGCUGUUAAAACAGUUGAUUCACCAUAACGGACAACAGUUGCGCCAUUAGCUUGUUUUGCCACUUGACCAACUUCAACAACAAGUGGUUUACCAGCAAAUGUUGUUGUAAAUGUUUGUUUUGACAUAAAAUACGUUACCUGAAACAGAUUUAUGACAACAUAAUCCUGUUCCAUUCCUUUCAAAAAUAUCUUGUUUUUGUCUACGUUGUUCUGCUACAAAAAGCAACAGAUAAUAGCUUAUCUAC